rnacentral:rRNA from 1 species
UUUAAGAAUUAAAUUUAAAGUCUAACCUGCCCACUGAAAAUUUUAAAUGGCCGCAGUAUUUUAACUGUGCAAAGGUAGCAUAAUCAUUAGUCUUUUAAUUGAAGGCUGGAAUGAAUGGUUAUUUGAGAUAUUAACUGUUUCAAAAAAAUUUGUAAUAUAAUUUUAUUUUUUAGUGAAAAAGCUAAAAUUUUUUUAAAAGACGAGAAGACCCUAUAAAUCUUAAUAUUUUAUUUAUUUUAAUUAUUUAGAAAAAUUAAAUUAUUAUUAAAAAAAUAUUUUAUUGGGGUGAUAUUAAAAUUUUAUAAACUUUUAAUUUUAAAAUUUACAUUAAUUAAUGAGUUUUUGAUCCAUAAAUUAUGAUUAAUAAAUUAAGUUACUUUAGGGAUAACAGCGUAAUUUUUUUAGAGAGUUCAUAUUGAUAAAAA